rnacentral:rRNA from 1 species
UUUGUGGAGGGUUCGAUUCUGGCUCAGGAUGAACGCUGGCGGCGUGCUUAACACAUGCAAGUCGAACGGGAUCCAUCAAGCUUGCUUGGUGGUGAGAGUGGCGAACGGGUGAGUAAUGCGUGACCGACCUGCCCCAUACACCGGAAUAGCUCCUGGAAACGGGUGGUAAUGCCGGAUGCUCCAGUUGAUCGCAUGGUCUUCUGGGAAAGCUUUCGCGGUAUGGGAUGGGGUCGCGUCCUAUCAGCUUGACGGCGGGGUAACGGCCCACCGUGGCUUCGACGGGUAGCCGGCCUGAGAGGGCGACCGGCCACAUUGGGACUGAGAUACGGCCCAGACUCCUACGGGAGGCAGCAGUGGGGAAUAUUGCAC